rnacentral:rRNA from 1 species
GGGGAAUAUUGGGCAAUGGGCGAAAGCCUGACCCAGCAACGCCGCGUGAGUGAAGAAGGCUUUCGGGUUGUAAACUUCUUUUACCAGGGACGAAGAAAGUGACGGUACCCCUUGAAUAACCCCCGGCUAACUACGUGCCAGCAGCCGCGGUAAUACGGAAGGUCCGGGCGUUAUCCGGAUUUAUUGGGUUUAAAGGGAGCGUAGGCGGGUCGGUAAGUCAGUUGUGAAAGUUCGGGGCUCAACCCCGGAAUUGCAGUUGAAACUGCCGGUCUUGAGUACACGCAGGGAAGCCUGAAUUCAUGGUGUAGCGGUGAAAUGCUUAGAUAUCAUGAAGACGACCGAUCGCGAAGGCAGGUUUCCGGAGUGUGACUGACGCUGAGGCUCGAAAGUGCGGGUAUCAAACAGG